rnacentral:rRNA from 1 species
UACGUAGGGGGCAAGCGUUGUCCGGAUUUAUUGGGCGUAAAGAGCGUGUAGGCGGCCAGAUAGGUCCGUUGUGAAAACUGGAGGCUUAACCUCCAGCUGUCGAUGGAAACCAUCUGGCUAGAGUCCGGAAGAGGAGAGUGGAAUUCCUGGUGUAGCGGUGAAAUGCGCAGAUAUCAGGAAGAACACCCGUGGCGAAGGCGGCUCUCUGGGACGGUACUGACGCUGAGGCGCGAAAGCCAGGGGAGCGAACGGG